AUGAGAGUUUGAUCCUGGCUCAGGACGAACGCUGGCGGCGUGCCUAAUACAUGCAAGUCGUACGCUUCUUUUUCCACCGAAGCUUGCUCCACCGGAAAAAGAGGAGUGGCGAACGGGUGAGUAACACGUGGGUAACCUGCCCAUCAGAAGGGGAUAACACUUGGAAACAGGUGCUAAUACCGUAUAACAAUCGAAACCGCAUGGUUUUGAUUUGAAAGGCGCUUUCGGGUGUCACUGAUGGAUGGACCCGCGGUGCAUUAGCUAGUUGGUGAGGUAACGGCUCACCAAGGCCACGAUGCAUAGCCGACCUGAGAGGGUGAUCGGCCACAUUGGGACUGAGACACGGCCCAAACUCCUACGGGAGGCAGCAGUAGGGAAUCUUCGGCAAUGGACGAAAGUCUGACCGAGCAACGCCGCGUGAGUGAAGAAGGUUUUCGGAUCGUAAAACUCUGUUGUUAGAGAAGAA
rnacentral:rRNA from 1 species